UACGGGGGGGGCAAGCGUUGUUCGGAAUUACUGGGCGUAAAGGGUUCGUAGGUGGCUUGCUAAGUCAGACGUGAAAUCCCUCAGCUUAACUGGGGAACUGCGUCUGAUACUGGCGAGCUUGAGUGCAGGAGAGGAACGCGGAAUUCCAGGUGUAGCGGUGAAAUGCGUAGAUAUCUGGAGGAACACCGAUGGCGAAGGCAGCCCCCUGGGCUAACACUGACGCUCAUGCACGAAAGCGUGGGGAGCAAACAGG
rnacentral:rRNA from 1 species